rnacentral:tRNA from 1 species
GCGGCUAUAGUAUAAUGGUAGUAUGAAGCGUUGCCAACGCUUUGGCCCGAGUUCGAGUCUCGGUAGCCGCG